rnacentral:tRNA from 3 species
GGGCCCGUGGUCUAGCUGGUUAUGACGCCACCCUUACGAGGUGGAGGUCCGGGGUUCGAAUCCCCGCGGGCCCACCA